GUUAUUGUAGUUUACACAAAAAGCAUGGCACUGAAAAUGCCAAGACGAAUACUAACAUUAUCCCAAUAACA
rnacentral:tRNA from 1 species